GCCACUGUGGUAUAGUGGUUUGAGUGUUGGACUAUGGCUCUGAAGAACAGGGUUCGAAUCCUGGCUCAGUCA